GUCAAGCGACUGACGUCCCUCAGAAUUGGGACGACAUUUGAUGACAUCGCGUGUUAAGACGGCGUGUCAUUGGCUGCCGUGCUUGUUUCCUGCAUAUCCAGUGUUGGAGACGUUUUGGAAAUGACAGCUCCAACGUUUCUGCAACCUCUUGCAUCGGCGCUGAUCAUCUCACUUGGUUUGGUGAACCAGCAGAGGAGAAAUGGGCGGAGCCUACGUUGCAGCGAUAGACGUCUCAGAGGUGUGAGGAUGCUAACAUUAGCCUGGAUGCUAGCCCACUGUUGUUUGUUCAGGAGAACUCCAAACCUACUGUUGAACAUCCAUGUGGUAUUGUUCAUGUUGUGGGACACGGUGGACCAUGUGGCUCGCUGACGUGUGACAGCAGAGAACAUCAACAAAGGGAAGCGUCGUCCUGGCUUCUAACAUGUCCCUGUUGUCCUGUCCAACACUGUUGUGAAAUCAAGUCCUUUGGUCUCCUGGACAUCUCUCCAGUGAGGAGGAGUGGGACACACCACACUCAGCCCAGGGUCGGGGGGAGAGAUGGGACACUCUUCUCCCUUGUGACUUCACAGGUCGGUGAGAGGAUGAUAGGGACCUCCCACCGUGAGCCUGCUGCCCCGAUCAUUCAAGCUACAGUCAACUCACCCGCCGCCUUCUGGAAGGAUGAGAUGGCUUCAUCCAGGCCGACAGUGGUCUGGCGGUCCGCACGGGUUCCGAUCUGAGAGAAGAGGGCGGCGAUGUUGAAGAGGAUGCUGGCCUUCUCCAGAGACAGGUUCUGCUGGCACAGCGGGACCCCCGUGAAGGAGUCGUACCUGAGCCGGAGAGAGGCACACACGUCACGCUGAAAUCCACCCUGGAGGGUCCAGGACCGACAAGCCGUCCAGGUGAGUUCACAUUAGCGAACUGGAGGGAUUAGCGGUCAGACGUCAACACUGCCCAGGCGACGCGCCGGCUCCGCCCACUGACAUCAUUAGCUGCUUGCUCAGCAACAGCAUGUUUGAGACUCUAAUGAAAGGAGGCUCACGCCCUUCCAGUCAUCUGUCACGAUCAAGUGCCGCGAGUCCCUCCCUCCUCGCUCACACCCCUCACUCCCUCUCACCAGCUGAAGAAGAUCCCAUUGGGCCGGUUGGGGCCAAAGAAGCGACUCUCCAUCAGAGGCAGCUGACUGUAGUACUUGGCCAGCAGCUCCACCCCGGCUUCGUUCCGACUCGGAGUCCUACAGGCCUGGCGGAGGACAGAGGAGACGGUAGUUAGCUCGCACACACUGAGAUGAGAUGGGAGCGACGAGUGGCACCGGCGCCGGACCAGGCCGUGGCUCACAAACACAUUCUGCUAUUAACGGUGUUGGAACUUUGGCAGUGACUAUCAAGCCCCUCCCACCUUGGCACCAGGUCACCACUAUAAAACGCAGCAGUGAUGAGACGACAGGGUUGCCAGAUCUGGCAAAUCCUCCCAACUGUGCAGGAACUUCAGACAUCAGUUCAUGUUUGACUUCAUCGACCGUCACAUCUUAGGAAUGAAUGAGCCGACAUGAAAACACUUUCACAGCAGGGGGCGUCACAUUGAAUCUUUCGGACAUGGUUUCCAGUCCAGGGUAUUUCUGGAGGUGGUGCUCAGAACUUGUGAAAUUAUACAUUUUAAUGCUACUUCUUCUUCUUCCUUCAGCUUCUCCCUUCAGUGGCGGCCACAGCGGAACCUCCAAACCUCAUGUCCUCCUUCACCACCUCCAUCAAUCUCCUCUGUGGCCUUCCUCUCCACCUUCUGCCUGGCAGUUCCAACACCUCAACAUCUUCAUCUACCAAUGUACUGGCUCUCUCUCUCUCUCUCUCCUCUGUCCAUGUCCAAACCAUCUCCAUCCAGCCUCUCUGACUUGGUCUCCUGAAGACCUGAGCACAUGUGCUGUCCCUCUGAUCCUCUCAUCAUCCUGCUCUCACUCCCAGAGAGAAGCUCAGCAUCUUCAUCUCUGCCUCCUCCAGCUCUGCCUCCUGUCUUCUCCUCAGUGCCACUGUUUCCAAACCAUACAACGUUGCUGGCCUCACCACCCUUUUGGACCCUUUCCCUCUCAUCCUUGCCCACACCCUUUUGUCCCACAUCACACCUGAGACUUUUCUCCAAUGAUUCCAUCCUGCCUGCAGCCGCUUCUUCACCUCUUCCUCACACUCUCCAUGGCCCUGGACAGUUGAGCCUCCACCUUCUUUAUCUCUGCAUCCUGUAGCUUCACCUGUCCACUUGGCUCCCUCUCAUUCACACACAGGGAUUCUGUCUUACUGUGGCUGACCUUCAUUCCUCUCCUUUCUAAGGCAAACCUCCACCUCUCUGGCUAAAAUCUGCCACAUAUAGUCUAGAAAAUACAGUACUUUAGUACAACCCCUUCGUCCCAGAGUCCACUUUUUGGGACCUGACCCGAGGAAAUCCCACAGUGGGCUGCUCACUCUUUUCAGGCAGUCGGCCACACCCACCAAGGGUGCGAUGACAUCAGCAACUGCUAGCUACUGCGGCACUGCUGGAAUAUGGUCCAGAUGUUGGAGUGGCACAGUCCCGAGAUGCCACAGUUAUCGCCUUGCUCAAGGGCUCAAAUGCGUCAGUGAGGUGUGAUUCAGGGCGUCUCCUGCGUGUCUGUGAGGAGCUUCAGCGCUGAAGAAGCUCAGCAUGAGAGGGUGAAAACCUGUCAGCUGGAGGGGUUUCUUCAGGUGUGUUCCACGGCGAGUGGUGAGCUGUGUUCCUCUGGCUGCGACUCACCUGCCGCAGGUCCAUCAGGUCGGCAAUCUCCUCCUCGUAGCUGUUCCCAUCCUCGCUGUAGUGCUCCAGGAUGAAGUCCUGGUGAUGAACGGAGACGUGUAGAUUACCGAUGGCUGUCUAACCACAGUUCAGGAGGACGGUGGUCGGCAGGAGACUCAUUCUCAGCCAAAGCAGCCGCGGUCUUCGUGUCAGACAAGUGUCUUCACCCAGUGAAGGUUAAUCGCUCUCUACAACCUCACGUGGCGUGGCGUGACGUGACGUCAAGCAUGUGAGACGCCGCCUCAGGGUUGGAGGACACCAUCGUGAACAACCAGAACUGGAAACGCCGACAUUUCCAAGCCGUCCUGAAGGCAGCGUGACCCACUUCCUUUAUGGGUUUGCUGACAGCGCAGCUGACCUGACGUGAUUUGAAUACGGAACUGGUUUCACAGUUUAACUCUCACGUCAUCUCGGCGACGUCUUUUUGUCACGUUAGCUGCAGAGAGCUCAGUUGAACACGCACCACUAGGAGGCGCUAUGCUCAGUCCCGCCAACCCUGGAACAGAAGAACCACCACACUCCAGUACCUUGAACGGCGUGGAGAAGUCCACUUCUUUUGUCUCCUUCAGGCCGAGAGCGAUGAGCGGGAUGUUGGCCGUUUCACUGGAAGAGGAAAGACAACAUGUCAAGGCUUCUGACCACUAGUUGGCAGCGAUCCCUCAGCCCGCCCAGGACACCUUGGACCUGCUCCCUCCAGGCAGGACCCCGGUCAGGACCCCAGCCUCAUCUCCAUCCAGGUCGAGGACUUCAAAGUCAUCUAGAAGAACCAGAUCAAGUGAGAUGUUUCCGUCGUCGUCCCCGACACAACCGUCCUCAGCUGAACACCGAACCAUGAGGCGGGACAUCUUUAAGUCAGGACACAUGACUUGGACUCCGCCGCAUCACCUGACUGGGUAAUGAUUAACCUGAAGCAGGUAAGUCAGCGUGGCUAUUUUUAGAAUCCCAGAGGACGAGGACGCGGGCGUCGUCAAGUCAAAACUGCGAGGGAGUGGCCGGUUACCGUGGCAACACUCGAGCCAUAAACCUGUUGACGCGAUGAAACUGGCGAUAACAUACGACGCGAUGAUCCCGAUCUGUUUAUCAGUAACUGUGCAACCCAUCCUGAACCGGACCGAGUGGUGCAGAGAGAAGAUGUUUGGUUUCAAUCUUCACUCUGUGGUCCAUCGAGACAUGGUCCACCCUCGCUCACACUUGAGCCACCUGGCUUCAUCUUGGUAGCUGCUCAGGCUUCCUGCCAAUCGUGGCGACGCUAGCGCACUGCCACAAGCGUCUCGCGGCUCUCAGGCCUGCGUAGCACGUGCACACACAGUUUAACCUCAAAAUAAAACUGUCAGAACCAGGGAUGCACCGAUACCCGUACUCACACUUCGGCCUGGGUCCUGGGCCUAAAAAUCUAAUCUUUCUUCAUAUUUUUGUCAGCACUAAUAUACGCUAACUAAACAGAAAUAAACUUGAAUUUCGGCAGGAAUGUAAACACACUGCAUCAUUAAGUACAUUACAAAAAUGUCAAUGUUGAAUUGAAGCUGCACUUCACCAGAGGCUUGGAUCCAAACCAAGAUCAUCAGGUGCUUCAGAUGUAAUGAGCUGUGACUGUCACAUGUAGAGCGUUUCAUUCAUCAUUUCUCCUGACACCCUUCAGAAGAAGCCCAGUGACACAGGAGCGUUCGGUUUAUUCACCACAUUUAAACGUGAGCGAUUGUUGUGACGCUCAGAUCCACAUCCAAAUGAUCAUUAGUUUUGGGAAGAUCUCCAACAAGCAACUACCACUGCUGGUGUGAGUCAGAGCAGCAGAUGAGCGUCUGACCCUCUGAGGUUCUGACGCGAGGUGGAAACGAGGUCCGGUUUCACUGAGUGGCCUCAGUCCGUGUGAACAGCCGGUGGAACUCGCAGAGCUGCCGUUUCACCACAUUUGUUACGAGGGAGCUCAGUCCGCGUCUUGCUGUACUGGUUUUGGAAAGAACAGGUGUCAGUGCAGCCCGAGUCAGGACACAACAAUGUUCUCGAGGUCACCACGGUAACAAGUCUCAUGGGAAGUUAUGCCUCCCUGUUACCCUCCAACAUGCUCGGAGUUUGAAGACACACAAACAACGUUCAGGAGGCGGCACCGACAACAGGAGUCACAGUUGGUCUGAACCAUUAUGAGCACCACAAACAAGCAACUUCUUGAUAAAUGAACGCUCACUUUGCUCGGAGAAAACCCGCCGGGUGAGAGGAACCACAAAUUAGCAGUGAAUUUCACUGAUUCAAAACUUGUACUUCCUGUUUACGUCCAGGGACGCCAUCUUGGAAUACGCACAACUGGAACGCAGCAAUAGCGCCCAGCUCAAUGGAUGCUGGUAGCUUUGUUUUUGUUUUCAUCAAUUAAAGAACUUGCCCUCCUCUGUUGGAAAAUAAACAGAUGUUUGGGUCAUUUACUUUGCAUCUAGACGGGAAAACGGUGGGGUUAUUUAUUGAUUAUUUAUCUGCAGUUCAGUGUUUCAUGUCUGACUGACUUGAGAAUCCAUAUCGUGCGCACGCUGCUCUUGUUUGUAUGAAUUCCUGAGCUCCUCCGAGAAGGUCAGUGCUCUCGCUGUGCUUCUGCAGCUCAUGAUGUGUGACGCGUCCUGACCGUCGUCCCUGGUGCCCAGUGAGACGGCACCUUGCCCGCGGUGAGUGGUGGCACAACAGAGCCUCAGUGUCCAGCGCUCAUUAGCCCACCACAAAGACGCUUGUGUCAGGCUUCAGAGAGAGAUGACAUAACAACCUAUUCAGCCGGACCUGACCCACUUCCGCACCUUCCCAAACCCACCGGAGCUUCAUCGGCUUCCGAAGAUGAGGGAGGACGGCGGCCAUGACGCUUGCCACACGCCGUCUGUGGGAGAGAGUGGAUCUGGUCUGGCCUGUGCCCGGGACACAUGUUGUCAAUUUGUGUCUGUGGUCUGACGGGAGGAGCGCUGCCGACUUUCCGUCCCCGCGCCGAGACCUGCCAAGCUGGAGGUGAGGCAGCGAGCCGCGGCCCAGGGAGCCGUCCACCCACGUCUCACGGCCUAAUUGCCCGCAAUUUCCUCCAGGCUUCGAUCAAAAAAGAAAAAUCACGGGAUGAUCCCAGACGCUGAGCAUCGGAACAUUUCUGCCGAGGCAAGCGUUUUCGACCCACUGACGUCAUGCUCCUAACAGCUUUUACCAGAAGAACCAAUCCAGACCCACAGCUAUACAGUCCACACUGUCGAUGGUCCACAAGCUUCAUGCACAAAAGCAGGACCACUCGGAGGGGCCCUCACAUAGUGGGGUCCCAUUUUUCAGUACCUUCUCUGGCCAGCUGGGGGCGGUAAGAAAGAGAUGUGUUGAGAUCAACUAUCAGUAGAACAACCGCCCUGAAGCGCUGGGUUUUGCGAGUAGUUUGAGUAGCGGUAGCGCUUGUGGACACAACAGGAGGACUCGGGUCCAGAGCAAAUGCCUGGCCAGUUCUGAGCCAAACAGACUUUGACCUGGGACAGUGUCCAACCCUGUGGGGGUGUGAGAUGAGGAAAGUGAGUGCAGGGCUCGGCAACUGAGGUCAGGACGGGAGAAGAUCAUUUGGAGAGACCAAAGAGAUGCAGCUUUUCCUCUCCGCCAUCUUACAGGGUCACAUGAGGGCCACAUUUCAGCUCACUCGUGGAGCUGUUCUCAUCGUCAUUCCUUCAUCUUGAAAUCUGCUGAGUCAGCACGCACACACGCAGCAGCUCGGAGGAGGAUGCCCUCCGCGGGACUGGCACGACUACAGGAGAGCGGGCCACGGCCAAGGUUCCCCCCCAGACACGACCUGCGGUGACGGCAGACUCAAUCUCCCAGUGACUUGCUGGAGACAGGAAAUGAACUGAGCCUCAAUCCAGACAGUGUUCAGAGGAGGAUUUGGGAGCUUGGACUUCACAAAGGGCUCGCUCAGGAGAACCAUCUAAACAGGCUCCACUGUCACAACACUCCGUGAAGAGCAGCAGUGCGAACCGUGAGCGACGAGCCUCGGAGUGAAAACACCUUAGAUAAUGUGCUGACCCGCUGCCUGGGGACCAGAACCAGGACCACGAGGUCCGGAGAUCCGUGGAAGACAUCAAACCACUGUAUCAAAGGCAGCCGCUGGCGGACGUUUGACCCAGCAACGUCUCGCCCCCGACCUUCUGAGACUGAUGACAUCAUAGCUCCGCCUCUUGCCCUAGCCGUCAUCACGUCAUUCAGCAAUAAUGCAAAAGAUAAACACAAGCCCUUCAGCCCCGAUGUUUUCUCGGUUUUUGGUGGGUCAACUGCAGCGCCACACGCAGGCCUGGCGUGUGAACCGCACCACUCUCAGGCGUGGUGUCUACAGGGGACCUGGCUGAUGAAGUUGGGCUCAACAACAAAACAAAGAAAAGGUCUGACCCAAACAUGAGACAGGUCACAGAGACAGGACCUGGCCUGAAGCGUCUCAACAGCUAGCAGCACGGCGUCAUGUCAAUUAUGGGAUGCCUGCUCACCAGCUAUUCAGCGUCCUCCAUUACAUCUCAGUGGGCUGCGAUAAGGAGGACCUUACCAGGCUCCUGGGAGAGGAACGUGCUCAAUUCUCCACCAUCGCUCGCCGCUCAUGCACCACCUGGAGCAGCUGGCCCUGACAGGUCGCUGCUGCUGCUGCUGACACCUCGUGCCACCAGCCGGACCGACCCAAGACCACCACAGAGGCUCUUCUCAGAGAGUCUGAGUGUGCCUCCCUCUGACUGCAGGAGAUGAGUUCCACCUCCACAGAAGGAAACCCACUCACCUCCAGUCAC